AUGGAUCCUGGUCAGGUUCGUUACCACGGAGCCACGACGGGGAGUCCCCUGACCCAUUCUGUACCAGGCAGAGCGGACGCUAAAACAACCUGUAAGAAUGUGAAAAGGUUGUGUGACUGGACGUCCCUCUUGCUUGCUUUAUUUGGAAGCAUAAGCAGAGUGGCAUCCCGUCGUGCCCCAGCCUGGGCUGUGCCCGCAGCGCCCGGAAGCUCAAAAUGGAGGCCAGAAGCCAAGUCCACCAGUCACCCCGACUGCAAAUGGGCUGGGGCGCCAUCCCUGGCAUCCUGGGGUCCUUCCGCUGCAGCUCAGCCUUCACGUUCACAGCCAGGACCUCCGGGCAAGGGCUGGAGGUGGAGACAGGGCGGCGCCUGGGCUCGCUUUUCACACCAGAAGUUACAUAACAGAGCAAAACUUGGACUGGCCCGUGUCCCGGGAGACCUCCAGCUUGUUUCUGUCCCGGACAAGGAUGGCCUCGUUCCCGUACUGAGAGUACCACAUGCUUCGGCUCCGGCUCAGGGAAACGUAAGAGGAGCCUCGGAGCAUGUUCUGAAGAGACACCCAAGAACCACACGAGAGAUGACAGCAAGCAGAUCAGCAGUGUCCUGGCCACAGUUUCCUGGGGACAGUCAGGUAUGCCCUUUAUUAGGACAAUGCACCCUCCUGGGGGGGGGGUCUUGUCAGGUGUCCACUGCAAUUCUGAUACCACCCCUUGGACCGCUUAACUUGAAAAGAUGGAUCUGAAGGGAUGCUGUCCAGCGAGGCGGAAGUCGACAGCAGCUGCUCCAAGUGGCCUCUGCUGCUCUGUGCUUGGGCCGGCUUUCAGCACAGCACAGGCGCUCUGAUUCUUGCCAGGAAUCUGGAACCAGCAUGUGUUCUGUGCUUUUUUUUUUUCCCUCUCCCCUGGCUGGUCUUCAGCUCUUCCCAAGGGGUUGCUACAAAGAAAUGAACACGCUGUCAUGUUGGGGAGGAAAGGGCCAUGGUGGCAACAGCAGGUUCUCAACGCUCUGGGGAUAAGAGCGUUAAGCCCAGCUACCAACACAUUUCACCACUUCAAGGGCGCCCUGGUGAGGCAGACCCUGGGACUGGGUUUAAGGGGUAGGUGCUUCAAUCCCAGAUCUUUUAUUGGCUAAGAACUGGGGGAUCUGGGGGAAAGGCUUGUUGGGGUGUUAGCAUCUGGAUCCGACAGGGCACGGGUCGCGGGGCUCAGAACUGACCUGCCCAUGAUAGGGGUACACCAGCGCCUUCUGCCGCAAGCAUCCGGGAGGCCGCUGGACCAGAAAGAAAAAUGACGUCAGGCAAAACCCAAACAGCGCAGCAUCCACAGCUGCCCCCCGCCCCAUGCUUUCGCAGCCAAGCAAGCUCACUUCUCCUUGCGUGUGGCCUGUGCCCCGUCGCCCAGCCCCGUUCCCACUACCUGCGGCCGCUGAACCCCGGUGGACCGGCCCACGCCCAGGAUGCCCCCACAGCACGCCCCCACUGCCUCCCCAGCAUCCCGCCCUCCCCCAACGCCGCCCCCGUCACCUAACCCGCGCCCCCCCGCCCCCGUCGUCGCCGCCCGGGCCACCCGCGCGGUGCGGCCUCAGGGAUGCGCUGGCCGCCCGACGGGGCGGUGCCAGCUGGCCGCGGGUCCGCGUCUCCAUGGCAGCGCCGCAGGCAUGCCGAGCCGAGC
rnacentral:lncRNA from 1 species